rnacentral:piRNA from 1 species
UCCUAGUCGAUAACGGAGAGAAAUGGCUGC